CAAGUGAAUGGAAUCAUUCUUCAAAAGAAAAUGUGCGAUUUCUGGGAUAAGAUCUGGAACUUCCAAGCCAAGCCUGAUGACCUGCUCAUUGCUUCUUACCCCAAAGCAGGAACCACUUGGACACAGGAAAUUGUAGAUCUGAUACAAAAUGAUGGCGAUAUUGAGAAAAGCAGGCGCGCUUCCAUUCAACUUCAACACCCUUUCCUGGAGUGGAUAAGAAUGACACACUGUGGGAUUGACCAGGCUAACACAAUGCCUUCCCCAAGGACCCUGAAAACUCAUCUUCCUGUACAACUACUGCCUCCAUCCUUCUGGGAGGAAAACUGUAAGAUAAUCUAUGUGGCAAGAAAUGCCAAGGAUAACCUGGUGUCCUACUACCAUUUUCAAAGGAUGAGCAAAGCACUCCCUGACCUUUGGGAAGCUGGGAUAAGUACUUUGAAACAUUCCUGGCAGGCAAUG
rnacentral:lncRNA from 1 species